rnacentral:lncRNA from 1 species
CCCAGUUAGAUGGGGGUCUCACUCUGUUGCCCAGGCUGGAGUGCCGUGGCCCAAUCUCGGCUCACUGUAACCUCCACCUCCCAGGCUCAAGUGAUUCUCCCAUCUCAGCCUCCUGAGUAGCUGGGACUAUAGUCACAUGACUCCUCUAAAUGAACUCCUGGCUAACUUUUGUAUUUUUUGUAGAGGCAGGAUUUCGUCAUGUUGCCUAGGCUGGCCUCAAACUCCUGGACUCAAGUGAUCUGCCCAUCUUGGCCUCGUAAAGUGCUGGGAUUACGGCUGUGAGCCACCAUUCCUGGCCUUAUUUUGUGUCCAGCUUCUCUCACUCAGCGCCACGUUUCCAAGGCUCACCUACGUUCUAGCCUGGAUCCGAGCUUCAUUCCGUUUUAUGGCUGCGUAGUAUUCCACUGCAUGGGUGGAGCACGUUUUCUUUAUCCAGUCAUCGGUAAUGGACAUGCGGGCUGUUGCACAGAAGGAUCCUUUUUAUUUUCUCCCUAGCUUUGCUGAGGCAUCAUUGACAAAUAGAAAUUACAUCUAUUUAAGGUUACAUGAUAUUUUGAUAUCCAUUAUGUGUUGUGAAGUGAUUACCACAACCAAGCUAACAACACAUCCAACACCUCACCUAGACACCUUUCUGGUGUGUGUGGUGAGAACACUUGAGUCUAAUUCCUCAGCAAGUUUCAAGAAAACAGUAUGCUAUAAUAAUUAUUAUUAUUUUGAGACGGAGUCUCGCUCUGUCACCCAUGCUGGAGUGCAGUGGCGCAAUCUUGGCUCACUGCAACUUCUCCCUCCCAGUUCAAGCAAUUCUCGUGCCUCAGCCUCCUAAGUGGCCGGGGCUACGGGUGGGCACCACCGUGCCUGGUUAAUUUUUGUAUUUUUAGUAGAGAUGGAGUCUCAUGUUGCCCAGGCUGGUCUCAAACUCUUGAGCUCAAGCAAUCUGCCUGCCUCGGCCUCCCAAAGUGCUGCGAUUAUAGGCACAAGCCAUUCUGCCUGGUUAAAACGUGUUUAUCUGAAAGCUGAAAGCUUGUACCCUUUGACCUACAUCCCCCGCCUUCCCCUGUGCCCUCACCACCAUAACCACUGCUCUACUCUGCUUCUACGAGUUCAAUUCUUUUUUAGAUUCCACAGAUAAGUGAGGUCAUGCACUAUUUGUCUUUCUGUGUCUGGCUUAUUUCACUUAGCAUAAUGUCCUCCAGGUUCAUCCAUUCCAGAGGGGUGUUUUAAAAGACAAUCUUGGC